GUUUCAAUUCCUCAUAGGCAGGCUAUCGGCUUUACCCACUUCCAGAGGCAUUCCUCCAUAAGAUCUUG
rnacentral:sRNA from 1 species